GACGAACGCUGGCGGCGUGCUUAACACAUGCAAGUCGAACGGAAAGGCCCUGCUUUUGUGGGGUGCUCGAGUGGCGAACGGGUAAGUAACACGUGAGUAACCUGCCCUUGACUUUGGGAUAACUUCAGGAAACUGGGGCUAAUACCGGAUAGGAGCUCCUGCUGCAUGGUGGGGGUUGGAAAGUUUCGGCGGUUGGGGAUGGACUCGCGGCUUAUCAGCUUGUUGGUGGGGUAGUGGCUUACCAAGGCUUUGACGGGUAGCCGGCCUGAGAGGGUGACCGGCCACAUUGGGACUGAGAUACGGCCCAGACUCCUACGGGAGGCAGCAGUGGGGAAUAUUGCACAAUGGGCGGAAGCCUGAUGCAGCAACACCGCGUGCGGGAUGACGGCCUUCGGGUUGUAAACCGCUUUCGCCUGUGACGAAGCGUGAGUGACGGUAAUGGGUAAAGAAGCACCGGCUAACUACGUG
rnacentral:rRNA from 1 species